rnacentral:rRNA from 1 species
GGCGUAUUGAUUAUGAUUUUAGGUCAGACCUGCUCAAUGAUUAUAAUUAAAUAGCUGCGGUAUUUUGACCGUGCAAAGGUAGCAUAAUCAUUAGUUUUUUAAUUGAAAGCUGGUAUGAAGGGUUUAAUAAAAAAUUAAUUGUCUCUAUUUAAAUUUUAUAAAUUUAUUUUUAAGUGAAAAAGCUUAAAUUUUUAUAAAAGACGAGAAGACCCUAUAGAGUUUUAUAAAUAAAAAGAUAAAAUAUAUUUGGAAUUGAAAGAUUUAUUUUUUUUAUUUAUUUAAUUGGGGUGAUUGAAAAAUUAAUUAAACUUUUUUUAAAUAAAACAUUUAUUUUUGAUUGAUUGAUCUCAUGUUUUGGAUUAAAAAAUAAAAUUACCUUAGGGAUAACAGCGUAAUUUUUCUUAGAGUUCUUAUUGAAAGAAAAGUUUGCGACCUCGAUGUUGGAUUAAAAAAAAUUAUUGGUGAAGAAGCUAAUAAAUUAGGUCUGUUCGACCUUUAAAAUUUUACAUGAUCUGAGUUUAAACCGGUGUGAG